AUUCGCCUAGUGCUAUUCCCACCUCCCGUCAGCUUCAUACCUGUGUGUGUGUGUGUACCUCAUUUUUUAAAAUAUUAAUUGAUACACCUAGUGCUAUUCCCACCUCCCGCCAGCUUCAUACCUGUGUGUGUCUCAUUUUUUAAAAUAUUAAUUGAUACGCCUAGUGCUAUUCCCACCUCCCGUCAGCUUCAUACCUGUGUGUGUGUGUGUCUCAUUUUUUAAAAUAUUAAUUGGUGAGUCUAUGUGUAUGUCUACGUGUUUUACUGUAUUCAAAUCGAAAAAUUCCAGUACACUCAAUUCGAUAAUUUCAAAUCGAAAUUUUCCACUGCUAAAAUACUUGUUUUCAAAUCGAAAUUUUCCACCGCGAUCAAAUCGCUCUUUAUCAUUUUUAAUCAGGGAGUUUGCUACAAUACUUGUUUUCAAGUUUGAUCGAUUGAUGCUUCAUGUCAGGUGAAAAUGUAUUUCAUUUUUACCGAAAAAGUGAUGGAUUUUUUAUAUCAAUUUCAGCUACAUUCAUCCGUCCGUCCGUCUGUCUGUCUGUCUGUCUGUCUGUCUGUCCGUCCACCCGUCUGUCCGCCCGUUCUCGUUCUUACCCGACAUCCGAAAAUGGACUCCUUCAAUGAUGCUCAAGAAGAGAGGAUUUUAGCGAAGGAUCUAACCCUAGGUGGAAGAUAUCCCCUCAUCUCGCUUGGGAACUUCAAGGGAGAGUACGGUCUAGGACUCUACGCCUGGAUUCAAGUCGAAGGGAAAGAGCGCAUGCUCAUACUCCCCUCGAUUUUUGCCAAAAAAGUAAGCGAGGAGGAUAUCGCCAGCAUCAACGGAGGGACGGGGUAUCUUCUCGUCUACAAGGGUCCGGCAGGACGGACCCAUUUGUUCAAAAUGGAGAAAGAGUGAGGUCUCACACCAUCCAUCAUAGACAUCACCCUCACCUCCAGCAGCAACAACAACAACAACAACAACAACAACAACAACAUGCAGAUCCGUCAUAUUUGUCCGAUAAUUCAGUCACAUUUCAAUGUUUGGGUGGGGACCCCCGCACCCCGACCACUUAUGAUUAGUAUUAUGGGGCCUGGCAGUAUGGAGCAGGAAACACUCCACCGUCUUGGAGAGGAGAUAUCCUCUUGGAUAUCAAUGGGAUCAGUCUCUGUAUUGAAAAAAAAUGUUGCAGGAGGAUAUGACCUCACCAAGGCGGAGGGCGUGUUUACCAUAGUGUAUUGGCCGACAGAGGGGGAGACGAGUCUAUCCCUGGUAUUGAUGGGAGGAUGAUACAAUAUUGGGGAUAGGUUUCUCUCUCUCCCUGUCCCCUGUCCCCUUCACCUAUCUGAUUUAUAUAUGUAUAUAUUUUAUCCAUGUUUAAAAAAAAUAAUAAUAAAAUAAAGCGAGGAGUCAGUGAGUAAAUACCCGAGUUUUUUUCUUUCUUCCUUUUUCUCGCUCUUUGAGAAUGGGUGGGUGGGAUACUAAACUAU
rnacentral:lncRNA from 1 species